CCUACGGGAGGCAGCAGUGGGGAAUAUUGGGCAAUGGAGGAAACUCUGACCCAGCAACGCCGCGUGAAUGAUGAAGGUCUUCGGAUUGUAAAGUUCUUUUCUAAGGGAAGAAGAAAGUGACGGUACCUUAGGAAUAAGCCUCGGCUAACUACGUGCCAGCAGCCGCGGUAAUACGUAGGAGGCAAGCGUUAUCAGGAAUGACUGGGCGUAAAGGGGGCGUAGGUGGUUUGACAAGUUGGUAGCGUAACUCCGGGGCUCAACCUCGGCACUACUCCCAAAACUGUCGGACUUGAGUGCAGGAGGGGCAAAUGGAAUUCCUAGUGUAGCGGUGGAAUGCGUAGAUAUUAGGAGGAACACCAGUGGCGAAGGCGAUUUGCUGGACUGUAACUGACACUGAGGCACGAAAGCGUGGGGAGCAAACAGGAUUAGAUACCCGGGUAGUC
rnacentral:rRNA from 1 species